UACAAUGUGUCUGUCAACGCCAAUAACAACACCGACAUCAACAAUGGAGCAGAUGGGAAGAACACUAAUAAGGCUAAAGAGAUGCGAUCAAAACAUUCUGUCACCGAGCAGAGGAGGAGGAGUAAGAUAAAUGAGAGGUUCCAGAUAUUGAGAGAGCUUAUACCAAACACGGAUCAAAAGAGAGAUAAAGCUUCAUUCCUGCUAGAGGUCAUAAGAGUAAGUCCAAUUUUCACAGGAG